UAGGGAAUCUUCGGCAAUGGGGGGCAACCCUGACCGAGCAACGCCGCGUGAGUGAAGAAGGUUUUCGGAUCGUAAAGCUCUGUUGUAAGAGAAGAGCGUGUGUGAGAGUGGAAAGUUCACACAGUGACGGUAACUUACCAGAAAGGGACGGCUAACUACGUGCCAG
rnacentral:rRNA from 1 species